rnacentral:rRNA from 1 species
AGAGAGAGACAUGCGCGCAUAUCAAUAAGCGGAGGAAAAGAAACUAACAAGGAUUCCCUUAGUAACGGCGAGUGAAGCGGGAAGAGCUCAAAUUUGAAAUCUUCAAGGUUUUACCUUGACGAAUUGUAGUUUAAAGAAGUGUUUUCUGCUGAAGUUUUGGUAAAAGUUCUUUGGAAUAGGACAUCAUAGAGGGUGAGAAUCCCGUAUUUGACCAUUAUUUUCAGCUUUGUGAUACACUUUAAAGAGUCGGAUUGUUUGGGAAUGCAGUCCAAAAUGGGUGGUAAAUUUCAUCUAAAGCUAAAUACUGGCGAGAGACCGAUAGCGAACAAGUACCGUGAGGGAAAGAUGAAAAGAACUUUGAAAAGAGAGUUAAACAGUACGUGAAAUUGUCAAAAGGGAAGCGUUUGACACCAGUGUUGUUUUCUCGAAAAUCAAUUAAAAAUGGCUCGAUUUUGUAUUGCUUGAGACCUUAAAAGCUCACUGUACAUUUUUCGUGUCUUUUUUAAUGCACUUUUCGUUUAACAAGUCAACAUCAGUUUCUUUUGUUGUAAAAGGGUCAUUGGAAGGUGGCUUUCUUUUCGGAGAAAGUGUUUAUAGCCUUUGGCCUCUGCAAUCGAAGAGACUGAGGUCUGCAGCGUAGACUCUUCGGGGUUAGAUACAUUUGUGCUAAGUUAUAGCUUUUUAUAGACAACUUGUUGACUAUAAUUAGUCUUGUAGCUUACUCGCUUAUGUUAUUUUACCUACGCUUAGGAUGUUGAAGUCAUCGUAUCGCGC